GAAAUGCGAUAAUUAAUGUGAAUUGCAGAAUUCAGUGAAUCAUCGAGUCUUUGAACGCACAUUGCGCCCCCUGGUAUUCCGGGGGGCAUGCCUGUCCGAGCGUCAUUGCUGCCCUCAAGCACGGCUUGUGUGUUGGGCUUCCGUCCCUGGCAACGGGGACGGGCCCAAAAGGCAGUGGCGGCACCAUGUCUGGUCCUUGAGCGUAUGGGGCUUUGUCACCCGCUCCCGUAGGUCCAGCUGGCAGCUAGCCUCGCAACCAAUCUUUUUAACCAGGUUGACCUCGGAUCAGGUAGGGAUACCCGCUGAACUUAAGC
rnacentral:misc_RNA from 1 species